UAGAAAGUAAUAUAAGGGAAGUAUGGAGGGCUUUGAUCUCUCCGGUGCGGGUUCGAGUCCUGCCUUUCUAA
rnacentral:tRNA from 1 species